rnacentral:rRNA from 1 species
AUACGGAGGGUGCGAGCGUUAAUCGGAAUUACUGGGCGUAAAGCGUGCGUAGGCGGUUUGCUAAGUCAGGUGUGAAAGCCCCGGGCUUAACCUGGGAACUGCAUUUGAUACUGGCAGACUAGAGUAUGAUAGAGGGGGGUAGAAUUCCUGGUGUAGCGGUGAAAUGCGUAGAUAUCAGGAGGAAUACCAGUGGCGAAGGCGGCCCCCUGGAUCAAUACUGACGCUGAGGUACGAAAGCGUGGGGAGCGAACAGGAUUAGAAACCCUAGUAGUCC